rnacentral:rRNA from 1 species
GAUGAACGCUGGCGGCGUGCCUAAUACAUGCAAGUCGAGCGAACAGACGAGGAGCUUGCUCCUCUGACGUUAGCGGCGGACGGGUGAGUAACACGUGGAUAACCUACCUAUAAGACUGGGAUAACUUCGGGAAACCGGAGCUAAUACCGGAUAAUAUAUUGAACCGCAUGGUUCAAUAGUGAAAGACGGUUUUGCUGUCACUUAUAGAUGGAUCCGCGCCGCAUUAGCUAGUUGGUAAGGUAACGGCUUACCAAGGCAACGAUGCGUAGCCGACCUGCGAGGGGGAUCGGCCACACGGGAACUGGGACACGGUCCAGGCUCCUACGGGAGGCAGCAGUAGGGAAUCUUCCGCAAUGGGCGAAAGCCUGACGGAGCAACGCCGCGUGAGUGAUGAAGGUCUUCGGAUCGUAAAACUCUGUUAUUAGGGAAGAACAAAUGUGUAAGUAACUAUGCACGUCUUGACGGUACCUAAUCAGAAAGCCACGGCUAACUACGUG